UUGGAGGGCAAGUCUGGUGCCAGCAGCCGCGGUAAUUCCAGCUCCAAUAGCGUAUAUUAAAGUUGUUGCCGUUAAAAAGCUCGUAGUUGAACCUUGGGUCUGGCUGAUCUGUCCUUCUAAUCGAGCGCACGGAUUCGGUCGGACCUUUCCUUCUGGGGAGCCGCAUGCCCUUCACUGGGCGUGUCGGGGAACCAGGACUUUUACCUUGAAAAAAUUAGAGUGUUUAAAGCAGGC
rnacentral:rRNA from 1 species